rnacentral:rRNA from 1 species
CUAGUAAUGUAAAUGAAAGUUGAAAAAGUUUCCAUUUUUGGAUAUUUAAAAGAAACUGAAAUUUCAAACUAAUUAGUAGUUAUUGCUUUUUUAUAAGUUAAUUAAAAAAAUUUAUAAGGAUAUAAGUAAUAGUGUACCUUUUGCACAAGGGUCCAACAAGUUAAUUUAUAUAGCAAGUCAAAAUGAGACGUAAAGAAAUUAAGUUUGAAAAAUAGCUAAUAGUUAUAUGAAUUAAACCCGAAACCAAAGGAUUUAACCGUGAACAAGCCGAAAAUAAGUUUUAUUGGAGGGCUGAACCAAUAUUUGUUGCAAUAAAAUUUGGAUGAUUUACGGUUCGGAGUGAAAAGCUAAUCGACUUUGGUGAUAGCUGGUUUUCUGCGAAAACUAUUUAGGUAGUGUGUUAUUAAUAAAUAAUAAAUUAGGUAAAGUACUUAU